AUUAACAUAAUUAUUUAAAAAAACAAACUAAUGAAAUAGGGCUGGACAAAAAUGAUGGUACCCAUAACUUAAUAUUUUGUUGCACAACCUUUUGAGGCAAUCACUGCAAUUAAACGAUUUCUGUAUUUGUCAAUGAGCGUUCUGCAGCUGUCAACAGGUAUUUUGGCCCACUCCUCAUGAGCAAACAGCUCCAGUUGUCUCAGGUUUGAUGGGUGUCUUCUCCAAAUGGCAUGUUUCAGCUCCUUCCCCAUAUGUUCAAUGGGAUUCAGAUCUGGGCUCAUAGAAGGCCACUUUAGAAUAGUCCAACGCUUUUCUCUCAGCCAUUCUUGGGUGUUUUUGGCUGUGUGUUUUGGAUCGUUGUCCUGUUGGAAGACCCAUGACCUGCGACUGAGACCAAGCUUUCUGACACUAGGCAGCACAUUUCUCUCCAGAAUGCCUUGAUAGUCUUCAGAUUUCAUCGUACCUUGCACACUUUCGAGACACCCUGUGCCAGAUGCAGCAAAGCAGCCCCAAAACAUUACUGAGCCUCCUCCAUGUUUCACCGUAGGGACAGUGUUCUUUUCUUCGUAUGCUUGGUUUUUGAGUCUAUGAACAUAGAGUUGAUGUGCCUUACCAAAAAGCUCCAGUUUGGUCUCAUCUGUCCAAAGGACAUUCUCCCAGAAGCUUUGUGGCUUGUCAACAUGCAUUUUUGCAAAUUCCAGUCUGGCUUUUUUAUGAGUUUUUUUCAGCAGUGGUGUCCUCCUUGGUCGUCUCCCAUGAAGUCCACUUUGGCUCAAACAACGACGAAUGGUGCGAUCUGACACUGAUGUACCUUGGCCUUGGAGUUCACCUUUAAUUUCUUUGGAGGUUGCUCUGGGCUCUUUGGAUACAAUUCGAACGAUCCGUCUCUUCAAUUUGUCAUCAAUUUUCCUCUUGCGGCCACGUCCAGGGAGGUUGGCUACUGUCCCGUGGGUCUUGAACUUCUGAAUAAUAUGAGCCACUGUUGUCACAGGAACUUCAAGCUGUUUAGAGAUGGUCUUAUAGCCUUUACCUUUAAGAUGUUUGUCUAUCUUUUUUUUUUCGGAUGUCCUGGGACAAUUCUCUCCUUCGCUUUCUGUUGUCCAUGUUCAGUGUGGUACACACCUUUUCACCAAACAGCAGGGUGACUACUUGUCUCCCUUUAAAUAGGCAGACUGACUGAUUAUGAGUUUGGAAACACCUGUGAUGUCAAUUAAAUGACACACCUGAGUUAAUCAUGUCACUCUGGUCAAAUAGUUUUCAAUCUUUUAUAGAGGUACCAUCAUUUUUGUCCAGGCCUGUUUCAUUAGUUUGUUUUUUUAAAUAAUUAUGUUAAUCAACAAUUCAAAAGUGAUGGCUGUUUUUGAUUAUUUAAUUUUCAAUAAAUUUUUAUUUAUUGUUACUUUUGUGAGUUUCAAGUGAUUUCAGUGAGAAUUGUGGGUUUUUCCUUCUUUAACUGAGGGGUACCAACAAUUUUGUCCACGUGUGUACUGUCACACCCGCAGCCGCAGGCUCAUAAGUGGCAGUACUCGCCCCUCCUCUGGCCCUGUUUUUUUUUUUCUUUUUACCCCUCUCUUAGGUGUGUGUGUGUGCACAGAGGCCUGGCUGCAGGUGUUGGUAAUCAGCAGCAUCAGUGGGAGCAGUGCACGAGCAGGUGGGAGUAAUCCAAUCAACCGCUCCUACUACUCCAUAUAACCAGACGCCAUUCAUCAGUCGUUGCCGGACCGUGAACGAUCUCCAGUGCUGCUCACCGUUCUGCCACUCCACCACGGAUGCCAGCCACGCCAGCACGGACGUCAGUCACACAAACACCAAAGUCAGUCACACCACCGUGGACUUCAGCCCCAAAUCCUCUCUCCAGUCUCUCCACCGCCGGCUGUUCCUGGGUUCUACUACCCCUCCCUCAAGUGGCCUGAACUUGACCCAUUCCUGGACACACCUCAUUCGAGCAACGUCAGUUGCCGGCCUUGGAUGAUGAAGUCCAGUUACCAAGACCGCUAGUCUGCAGCUCACCGGUCCCGUCCUGCAGCUCCUCCUCUCUACAGACCAAAUCAAGAAAAAGGAAGCGGGAUGCUGCUGUGGAUCUGCUGCAGUAUCUGGAGAGGUCAGAGGAAGGGUCCUUGGAACAGAUCAGAAGAUGCUAAGACCUGGCCAUUGCCAUGCUCUAUGUUCACUUGUAUUUUGACUCUUGCAUUUUGAGUGAAUAAAAAUAUAUA